rnacentral:rRNA from 1 species
CCCUUAGAGUUUGAUCCUGGCUCAGAACGAACGCUGGCGGCAUGCCUAAUACAUGCAAGUCGAACGAGACCUUCGGGUCUAGUGGCGCACGGGUGCGUAACGCGUGGGAAUCUGCCCUUGGGUUCGGAAUAACAUCGGGAAACUGAUGCUAAUACCGGAUGAUGACGUAAGUCCAAAGAUUUAUCGCCCAGGGAUGAGCCCGCGUAGGAUUAGCUAGUUGGUGAGGUAAAGGCUCACCAAGGCGACGAUCCUUAGCUGGUCUGAGAGGAUGAUCAGCCACACUGGGACUGAGACACGGCCCAGACUCCUACGGGAGGCAGCAGUAGGGAAUAUUGGACAAUGGGGGCAACCCUGAUCCAGCAAUGCCGCGUGAGUGAUGAAGGCCUUAGGGUUGUAAAGCUCUUUUACCCGGGAUGAUAAUGACAGUACCGGGAGAAUAAGCCCCGGCUAACUCCGUGCCAGCAGCCGCGGUAAUACGGAGGGGGCUAGCGUUGUUCGGAAUUAUUGGGCGUAAAGCGCACGUAGGCGGCUCGGUAAGUCUCACUGUGAAAGCCCGGGGCUCAACCCCGGGAGGCCAGGGGAUACUGUCGAGCUGGAGACAAGUAGAGGCGAGUAGAAUUCCGGGUGUAGCGGUGGAAUGCGUAGAGAUCCGGAGGAAUACCAGAGGCGAAGGCGGCUCGCUGGACUUGGUCUGACGCUGAGGUGCGAAAGCGUGGGGAGCGAACAGGAUUAGAUACCCUGGUAGUCCACGCCGUAAACGAUGGGCACUAGAU